UAGUUAAGUUGAUCAAACGAGGUGGGAUUUCUAUAACAGCCAGGAUGUUGGCUUGGAAGCAGCCAUUCAUUUAAAGAGUGCGUAACAGCUCACUGGUCGAGAGAUCCUGCACGGAAAAUAAUCGGGCAUCAAACUAUGAACCGAAGUUCUAGAUUCAAUAUUUAUUUAUUGAGUGGUAGGGGAGCAUUGAAAUCUGCAUCGAAGGUGUGGCGCGAGCCAUGCUGGAGCGAUUUCAAAAGAAAAUGUAGGUAUAAGUAACGAUAAAAGUAGUGAAAAACUACUUCGCCGAAAGUCUAAGGUUUCCUGAUCAACGUUAAUCGGAUCAGGGUUAGUCUGGUCCUUAGGAAAACCCGAAAGGGGCAUCUGAUGGAAAGCUAGUUAAUAUUCUAGCACCUACUAUGCAUUAAAAGUGACGCAGGGACGUGGUUGUUACGAACAGACGGAUGUUCGUUGAGUGGAACCUUCGGGGGAAGCGAAACAAUAAAAUCCCUGCCAAGAAAAGCGAGCAUAGCAGCCAGUACCGGAAUCCGACACAGGUAGACGGGAUGAGUAUUCUAAGGCGCUCGGGUGAGCCGCGGAGAAGGAACUAGGCAAAUUAACGCUGUAACUUCGGGAUAAAGCGUACCGCAGUGAUGCGGUCACAGUAAAUAGGUACAACCAACUGUUUAACAAAAACACAGGGCCCUGCAAAAACGUAAGUUGACGUAUAGAGCCUGAAACCUGCCCGGUGCUGGAAGGUUAAGGAAGGGUGUUCGGCGCAAGCCAAAGCUCCUGACUGAAGCCCCAGUAAACGGCGGCCGUAACUAUAACGGUCCUAAGGUAGCGAAAUUCCUUGUCGGGUAAGUUCCGACCUGCACGAAUGGUCUAAUGAGUUGUACACUGUCUCCUCCGCGAGCCCGGUGAAAUUGUAGUAUCGGUGAAGAUGCCGGUUACCCGCCACGGGACGGAAAGACCCCGUGAACCUUCACUACAACUUUGCAUUGAUUUUGAACAACCGAUGUGUAGGAUAGUUGGGAGACUUUGAAGUGGCAUCGCCAGGUGUCAUGGAGUCAUCGUUGAAAUACCAACCUUCGUUUGUUUAGAACCUAAUCCCUAACGGGAGACAGUGCAUGGUGGGUAGUUUGACUGGGGUGGUCGCCUCCUAAAAAGUAACGGAGGCUCGCAAAGGUACCCUCAGUACGGUUGGUAAUCGUACGUAGAGCGCAUUAGUAAAAGGGUGCUUGACUGUGAGACAAACAAGUCGAGCAGGAGCGAAAGCUGGCUAAAGUGAUCCGGUG
rnacentral:rRNA from 1 species